rnacentral:rRNA from 1 species
AACGGCCGCGGUAUCCUAACCGUGCGAAGGUAGCGUAAUCACUUGUUCUUUAAAUGAGGACUAGUAUGAAUGGCACCACGAGGGUUAAGCUGUCUCCUUUUUCUAAUCAGUGAAACUAAUCUCCCCGUGAAGAAGCGGGGAUUAUACUAUAAGACGAGAAGACCCUAUGGAGCUUAAAACAAAUUAACACUUGCUUCUAUCCAUUUUUACUCCUGAACUAACACAUAAAAUAUAGCAUCGUUGAUUAAUAGUUUUCGAUUGGGGUGAUCAUGGAGUAAAAACCAACCUCCACGACGAAAAGGAACACUUCCCUGAGCUAAAAGCUACAACUUUAAGCACUAAAAAAUUAACGCACUUUGACCCAAAUUUUUGAGCAACGAACCAAGUUACCCUAGGGAUAACAGCGCAAUCCAUUUCAAGAGCCCCUAUCGACAAAUGGGUUUACGACCUCGAUGUUGGAUCAGGGUAUCCCAGUGGUGCAGCCGCUACUAAAGGUUCGUUUGUUCAACGAUUAAAACCCUACGUGAUCUGAGUUCAGACCGGAGAAAUCCAGGUCAGUUUCUAUCUAUAAAGGGCUUUUUCUAGUACGAAAGGACCGAAAAAGCAUGGCCAAUGAUCAAUUAAGCCAUAUAAAUUACUUAUGUUUUCAACUCAAUUAGAAACAAACCUACCAUAAACCUCAAAAAAAGAGAAGUUAACGUAGCAAAACCUGGCCCUGCAA